GACGAACGCUGGCGGCGUGCCUAAUACAUGCAAGUCGAACGCAGUGGGGACGGGUGAGUAACACGUGGGUAACCUCCCAUCAGAGGGGAUAACACUUGGAAACAGGUGCUAAACCGAUAUCGAUGGAUGAACCGGCGGUGCAUUAGCUAGUUGGUGAGGUAACGGCUCACCAAGGCACAGAUCCAUAGCCGACCUGUGAGGGUGAUAUGCCACACUGGGACUGAGACACGGCCCAGAAUCCUACGGGAGGCAGCAGUAGUGAAUCUUCGGCAAUGGACGAAAGUCUGACCGAGCAAUGCCGCGUGAGUGAAGAAGGUUUUCGGAUCGUAAAACUCUGUUGUUAGAGAAGCGGUAUCUAACCAGAAAGCCACGGCUAACUACGUGCCAGCAGCCGCGGUAAUUC
rnacentral:rRNA from 1 species